UGUUUGGCAUUGCCUUAAGAAAGCUGUAAAG
rnacentral:piRNA from 1 species